rnacentral:rRNA from 1 species
GGGGAAUUUUCCGCAAUGGGCGCAAGCCUGACGGAGCAAUACCGCGUGAGGGAAGAAGGCUCUUGGGUUGUAAACCUCUUUUCUCAGGGAAGAAGUUCUGACGGUACCUGAGGAAUCAGCAUCGGCUAACUCCGUGCCAGCAGCCGCGGUAAUACGGAGGAUGCAAGCGUUAUCCGGAAUUAUUGGGCGUAAAGAGUCCGUAGGUGGUCAAAUAAGUCUGCUGUCAAAGACCGGGGCUUAACUCCGGAAAGGCAGUGGAAACUGUGUGACUAGAGACCGGGAGGGGUAGAGGGAAUUCCCAGUGUAGCGGUGAAAUGCGUAGAGAUUGGGAAGAACACCAGUGGCGAAAGCGCUCUACUGGGCCUGUACUGACACUGAGGGACGAAAGCUAGGGGAGCGAAAGGGAUUAGAUACCCCUGUAGUC